rnacentral:rRNA from 1 species
UACGUAGGUGGCGAGCGUUUGUCCGGAAUUACUGGGUGUAAAGCGCGUGUAGGCGGGAGGCCAAGUCUGUGGUGAAAUCGCUCGGCUUAACUGGGCGGGGUCCAUGGAAACUGGUCACCUGGAGGUCGGUAGAGGCAAGUGGAAUUCCCGGUGUAGUGGUGAAAUGCGUAGAGAUCGGGAGGAACACCAGUGGCGAAGGCGGCUUGCUGGGCCGGACCUGACGCUGAGACGCGAAAGCGUGGGGAGCAAACAGG